UCUCUUCGUGAAGUCCUCAGCACCACUGGCUUGGCAGCUGGAGACGUCUUCACUGAAAGGCAGCUUCUCUGCACAGGAGUCAUGCACAUCCAGGAUACUGUACAGGAGUGACACAACCAACACUUACCUAACCUGGAAACACGAUGAUGAGAGAAUCUAUUCAAAGAAAAAAAAAGGCAAAAAAAACUAUUGGCUGCUCACCUAGCCUACAAUAAAUGAGGUAACAAAAACAUAUGGAUGCGAAACAGAGAGAAGAAAAUGAAAGCAGUUCAAAGCUUGCCAGCUAUUCAUAAGGAACUCAAGAUGAUCAUCAGUUUAUCCAGAAACUAUCCCAUGCAGAAAUACAUGGCACUGCAUUGUCACUUGCCCAGUAUCACAGGCCACAGUGAGUGGAUAUCUGACAGAGGACCUCCAUGUGGCUGACUGUGUGGAGUCUGGAGACAGCACUGCAGGGCUCACCCACUGCAAACCUGGCAGGUGGGACCCUGCUGAAGCCAGUGAAAAAGCAUCAAGCUCACCCCACUCUAAUGCAAUCCUACAAGGCAUGUGGAUGCUUUCUUCCGAAGGAGCAGACGGUCCCCUACAGCAGAGGGUCAGCUAGCAUGGUCGGGAGAAGGAUAAAGCCAUUGCAGGUGUUCUUCACCAUGAAGGCCUACAGCAUUAAUGAUUCACAUUUUCCCAGACAUGCAAUUUGUUACACUGCAAAGCAAUUCUGCUUAAGUACACUGGGGACUUUGCCUGAUCUAUCAAUCCCUGCUCCACUUCCUGACAACUAUGGGGAAGUCCCAUGGAAACAAGCGUAUACUGGUAAACUGUUGUUUACUUGCACUAGUUACAUACGUAACUGAAGAAGGAAGGUAAAACACAAACUAACUUCC